rnacentral:rRNA from 1 species
GACGAACGCUGGCGGCGUGCUUAACACAUGCAAGUCGAACGAUGAAGCUAGAGCCUGCUCUGGUGAAUUAGUGGCGAACGGGUGAGUAACGCGUGAGUAACCUGCCCCGAACUCUGGGAUAACUGCUGGAAACGGUAGCUAAUACUGGAUACGACCUACGAAGGCAUCUUCUGUAGGUGGAAAGAAUUUCGGUUCGGGAUGGACUCGCGGCCUAUCAGCUUGUUGGUGAGGUAAUGGCUCACCAAGGCGACGACGGGUAGCCGGCCUGAGAGGGUGACCGGCCACACUGGGACUGAGACACGGCCCAGACUCCUACGGGAGGCAGCAGUGGGGAAUAUUGCACAAUGGGCGCAAGCCUGAUGCAGCAACGCCGCGUGAGGGAUGACGGCCUUCGGGUUGUAAACCUCUUUUAGUAGGGAAGAAGCGAAAGUGACGGUACCUGCAGAAAAAGCACCGGCUAACUACGUGCCAGCAGCCGCGGUAA